rnacentral:rRNA from 1 species
UAUGAAAUCGAGUGGCAAACGGGGUGAGUAACGCGUAAACAACCCUGCCCUUCGGAUGGGGAUAACAGCCGGAAACGGCUGCUAAUACCGAAUACGAUCUUUUCGUCGCAUGACGGAAAGAAGAAAGGAUGGCCUCUAUACAAAGCUAUCGCCGAAGGAGGGGUUUUGCGUCUGAUUAGCUGGUUGGAGGGGUAACGGCCCAACAAGGCGAUGAUCAGUAGCCGGUCUGAGAGGAUGAAUGGCCACAUUGGGACUGAGACACGGCCCAGACUCCUACGGGAGGCAGCAGUGGGGAAUCUUCCGCAAUGGACGAAAGUCUGACGGAGCAACGCCGCGUGAGUGAAGAAGGUCUUCGGAUUGUAAAGCUCUGUUAUACGGGACGAAAAAGACGGAUGCCAACAGUAUCCGUCCGUGACGGUACCGUAAGAGAAAGCCACGGCUAACUACGUGCCAGCAGCCGCGGUAAAU